rnacentral:rRNA from 1 species
CUGGCGGCGUGCCUAAUACAUGCAAGUCGAACGGUCUUUCUAUGGAAGCUUGCUUCCACUGAGAAGAUAGUGGCGAACGGGUGAGUAACACGUGGGUAACCUGCCCAUAAGAGGGGGGAUAACAUCCGGAAACGGGUGCUAAUACCGCAUAGUUUUCUUGAUCGCAUGAUCGGGAAAGGAAAGACGGCCUUUGUGCUGUCGCUUAUGGAUGGACCCGCGGCGUAUUAGUUAGUUGGUGAGGUAAUGGCUCACCAAGACGAUGAUACGUAGCCGACCUGAGAGGGUGAUCGGCCACAUUGGGACUGAGACACGGCCCAAACUCCUACGGGAGGCAGCAGUAGGGAAUCUUCCGCAAUGGACGAAAGUCUGACGGAGCAACGCCGCGUGAGUGAAGAAGGUUUUCGGAAUCGUAAAACUCUGUUGUCAGAGAAGAACAAGUUGGAGAGUAACUGCUCCAGCCUUGACGGUAUCUGACCAGAGAGCCACGGCUAACUACGUGCCAGCAGCGGC